UACAGAGGGGGGCAAGCGUUUAUUCGGAAUUAUUGGGCGUAAAGGGCGCGUAGGCGGCUUUGCAAGUGACGGGUGAAAUCCCUCGGCUUAACCGAGGAACUGCCUGUCAGACUGCAUGGCUCGAGACCAGGAGAGGUGAGUGGAAUUCCCAGUGUAGCGGUGAAAUGCGUAGAUAUUGGGAGGAACACCAGUGGCGAAGGCGGCUCACUGGACUGGUACUGACGCUGAUGCGCGAAAGCGUGGGGAGCAAACAGG
rnacentral:rRNA from 1 species